GCCAGCAUGGUGUAGUGAUUUGAGCAUUAGACUACAACUCUGGAGAUCAGGGUUCAAAUCCCUGUUCAACCA